GUAAAGGUGUCUUUAGACACCACCGAUAUUUUCUGAAGUUAUUCCU
rfam:Picea glauca, whole genome shotgun sequence.